UCCCCUCUCAGCCUGUAGGACUUGGACCCUGCUGACCCGGUCAAAGUGGUUGAAGGACGCCCGGAACUCGUUGAGCUGCUCCUGGCUCAGGCCCUUGGCAUCUCUGGUAACCAAAGGUAUGGCUGAUGGGAUGUGAGACCAGUUUACCUCUCAUUACAUCCAGUGCCUCCCACACUUCUAGAAUGCCUGCACUCACCUGAGUCUCUUCCACAGAGUGCACUAGCCACACGUCCUGCAGGUCUUCAAUAGCCCCAUCCAGCCAAUUGUUGAAGGGUGCUGCCCGCCGAGCAAACUCCAGCUGCAGCUGGUCAAUGGUUUCCAGGAGCUUCUCCAUCCUCUAGCGGUCAGGGGACCAUGGAUCAGACCUUUGCAGCUUGCUGGCCUCAUCGCCUUGCCCUUGGUUCCCUGGCCCACCUGCCUACCUCUAGCGCAUCUCUCCUCUUCUGGGUCAGUGUACCUAAGUUAUCCCACUGGUCACAGAUGGCUUGGCAGCGGCUAUUCACUGAGGCUGCCUCAUGGUAGUCCAGCUCACUGAUGGAGUUAAAGGGGAAUGAGUGUAGAGGCAGACCUUGGCCUAACUUGAACCCUGGUGGAACCCAAGGCAGGGUGAGGGUGCAGGAGUGACUGUUAGGUAGCCAAAGCAGGUGUGGAGCAGAGAGGAACUUUUCUUCCAGGGAUCUCAGUGUCUGCAGGUGUCCUGAUGUGGAGCCUGGGUUUCAGAAGCAGAAUUGUGGGAGAAGGAGAACCGGAGGAGGUGGUUGAUGAGGCCAAGGCUGAUGGGGUGGUGGGCUAAUAUUCUGAGGUGAAGGGGGGUCUCCAUGUCAUGGGGGACAGAUUUCCCCAUGCGGUGGGAAUACCAGUGGAUAAAUGCAGGGGUUGGAGACAGUGUUUCAGUAAGAAAGUAAUGGUGUGAAAAGAAGCAGGGUGCCACUACUUAGUUACCAACGAUAUGACAGAGGAGUAGGGAGGGGCUCAACGGGGAGGGGCGGGGCUGGGUCUCUGGUCACGCCUACUUGAGUUCCUGGGCUAGUGCAGCAAUGUGCUCCACCCGGUCUUGGUGCGCAGCCAGGUCGCUCUCAAAGGCCUCGUGGCGGCGCAACAGCGCACGCACCUCCUGCAGCGAAGCUGAGUCGUAGUCAUGCUGGUUCAGCAUCUCCUCUUUGCCUGCUCGGAAAGAGAACAGGGUCCUGUCACCCAGAGGCCGCUAUGGCUGGAGUGUGAGGUUUCCCAACAUACCCUGAGAUGCCAGCCGGAACUUUAGCAUUGUUUGCCAAUGAAGUCAGUGUCCUCUGACCCAGCACUGUCCAGGAUGACCUUUGCUACAAUUUUGGAAUUGCUUGAUAAUCAAACCCCACUCCCACCCCACCCCGGUCCCUCUGUUUUAUUCUGAGACAGAGUCUCUAUGUAGUCCUGGUACGUUGACCAGGCUGGCCUCAAACUCAGAGAUCUACCACCUCUGCUUCUCAAGUGCUGGGGUUAAAGGGAUGCACCACCGCGCCCAGCCUUCGAACUACUUUUCAAUGCUCCUGUGAAUUCCUCAAUCUUUUGACCUGGCUUCAUUUGCUCAUCUGCUUUCCCAGCACCUGGCACAGUGCCUGAUACUUGGUGGAUGGCAGAGCCUCCGUGAAUAAUUACUGCAUGAAUGAAUAAUAAAUGCAAAAGUGUCUUUGGUGAAA